UACGUAGGGUGCGAGCGUUGUCCGGAAUUAUUGGGCGUAAAGAGCUUGUAGGCGGCUUGUCGCGUCAACUGUGAAAACCCGUGGCUCAACCAUGUGGUCUGCAGUCGAUACGGGCAGGCUAGAAUUCGGUAGGGGAGACUGGAAUUCCUGGUGUAGCGGUGAAAUGCGCAGAUAUCAGGAGGAACACCGGUGGCGAAGGCGGGUCUCUGGGCCGAUAUUGACGCUGAGGAGCGAAAGCGUGGGGAGCGAACAGG
rnacentral:rRNA from 1 species